CUGUCAUUCUUGUACAGUGUGUGGAAUGCCACCUUGGGUGGAGGCGAAGAUCUGGAGCCUCGCUUAGGAACUGCCUUGGUUUAAUGAGCACAGUUUCCCAGAACUUCUGAGCGUCUCUUGGGCACCAGUAGGUUGUAUUACUCCGGUCAAGCUUGAUUUAAAAGCUGCAAAGCUGCUUAGGGAGGAACAGGGUAGGGUAGUAUGGGGACAAAGGGAGGAAGGAAGAAGGCCGUGUGCUGUCAUAGAAAGCUCAGAUGGACCUGGCGGGUGGGUGUUCAAAUCCCAGUUCUGUCCUUUAAGCUGUGUGCCCUUGAACAAGGGUGUAAACUGAAAUGAGUAACCGCUGACCAGGCAGGGAGUUGAUUAGGUGUAAAUGUGGUGUCUUUAAUGUGCCUGGUACCUGGCAGACCCCAAGUGAUAGCCUAGGUAGGUUUCAGAGCUCUCACAGACCACUGAGUGUGAGCUAAGAGUGAGGCAGAAGCCUCCUAACGAUUGUCUUGCCUUGACUGCAUCUCAGCCCCUAAGACACCAUCUAUUCCUGCCCUCUUAGAGGUUAGUCUUGUGUCGGGACCUUUUGGACACCGACCUUCAAAGGGGCACAGGUUGGCAGUUUCUUGAGAACGAACUUAUUUCAAACUUUCCUCCGACUUUUCUAUUAUACUGUUAUAAAUACCGUACAUCGGCCCGGCAGCUGUUUCUGAAGCUGAUUUCUCUCACCCCUGCUGUCAUGGUCAGACCUGAUUCUUUCUCAUAAAGGAUCUCAAAGAACUGGUGUUAGCUCUUGAAGCGUUUCUAAUGAGAAAGGGAGGCGGAGGAUGGGGAGUCCUGGUUCUCGCCCACCACCUCUCAUCACCCACACUCCUAGCAACAGCUCUUAACUCCGUGGCCCACGUCUUCUGCCCCGCCUACAGCAGCAGCAGCAGCAGCAAACUGUGUGUGUGUGUUGGGGGAGGGGGGUCUGAGGUUCAGGAAGAGAGUGGGACAAGAGCCCAGGAAGGAGGCUGGCAGAGCACAGAAGGCCCUGACCUCCCAGGAAGAAGCGGAGUCCCCGAGGACAGCGUCCAGGCUGGCUGAGCCUGAGAGGUGGCCAAGGAACCAAAGCUGUGAAGUUCCAGAUGUGGGAUAACUCGAGCCCUGGCAAAGGACACAGCAGGACAAAAGCUGAGGACGCCAUGGACCUGCAGCGUGGGUGAUGUCCUGACUAAUGUUCAUGACUUCAGCCAGCCUCAUGCUGUCAGAGGCCCUUUCAAGAAAAUGUCCUGUUGCCAGGACUCUCUGCUUUUCUUGACAAGUGACUGGACCCACUCCCAGCUGCCAGCCUGGCCCAUCCCCGCUCUGCCGACUGGAGAGGAACCACCAGAAAGAGAAGAUACCUUGAGUCCUGCCCCCAGCCGCUGUUGCCUUUCCUGGCUUCCAGAAGUUCCUGGCUCGGACUCUCUCAGCUCCUGCAUCCUUAACAUUCGGGUAAAAUGAAACCACUUCUUUUGUACCCUACGCCCCUUCAUCACAGAAUCAAAACGCCGUGCUGGAGAAGAAUUCCAUUCUUGUUAAGUAUUCAGGGACGUUACUGCUCUGUUUAUUCUCAUUUAAAGCAAGGCACCUGAAUAUCUUUACACCCAAUGAUCACUGAAGCAUGAUGAAUUUAGUACCAGGGGAAUGCUUAAUGCUGCUGCUGCUGAAGAAGAUGCUUCCUGCAAGAGCUGCAAGGCAAAUGUAGGACAGAUCCCAGUUUGUAGAGCAGAUCUACAAACCUUCAAUGGGCUAUAGGUACUACACUCCCUCGGUCAUUUGUCAGGACGGGAUGUGUGGGCCUACCCGAACUGUAUUAUUAUUUUAUGACAAGUUGAAAGGGAACUGAAUAAACAAAACCACACAGUCA